GGAACCAAUACGCUGGGAAGCAUAGACUUCCAACCAUCCACAUUACACACUCCAUCAGGAAAAAAAAAAACCUUCUUCUGGCUUCCCCUCAGCAACUCAGCCUGGUUCGAUAUAGCUGCUCAACUUCAGGAUGUAGCGUUUGAACAAUCUAUUAAUAGCACCGCCAACAAGUGCUUACCGGACGCACCGGAACUUGUGUUUGGAUCUAGAGCUGCCACUUCUGAUAUGUAUCUCACCAACGCUGCAUAUGGAGAGUACCUUGCCAACCAGUUCAAGGUCUCUAUUAUUGAUGAAGAGACUGCUGCUAUUGCAUUGGAAUAUUAGCAAAAAGAGAAAAAUAUGGAACUAAAAGAAGCUUAAUUGGACAUGUUCGUAUCAAGGCCCAAGAUUAAUACGCAUGACUGCUAAUUACAAGGUCCAAGGGAUAUUUUAGUUGUUUUGUAUAAUUAUUAGAAUUUAUAUUAAAAGUUAUUUAUGAAAUAGUAUUUAGUAGAGAUUAAAAUACUUUAAGUCUUAUUUAUUAGAUAGAUUUAUAUUAGUAUACUUAUCUCUAGGGAGAUUUAUAUAGAGGAGGACUCUUCUCUAUAUAUAUCUUUGCAAAACCUAAUUAAAGAGGGGGGUAGGAGUUUUGCUCCUACCCGCUAACUAUUAUUCUCUUAAUAAUUUUCUACAGUUCUUCAUAAACAUUUAGUUUUAAUUUUGAUUGUUCUUUUAAGAUCUAAGAAGCUUUUCAAGAAAUAGAGACUGAUGACUAAUCUUUUUCAUACUUGAAGAAAUCAUGGAUCUAGA